GACGAACGCUGGCGGCGUGCUUAACACAUGCAAGUCGAACGGAAAGGCCCUGCUUUUGUGGGGUGCUCGAGUGGCGAACGGGUGAGUAACACGUGAGUAACCUGCCCUUGACUUUGGGAUAACUUCAGGAAACUGGGGCUAAUACCGGAUAGGAGCUCCUCCUGCUUGGUGGGGGUUGGAAGGUUUCGGCGGUUGGGGAUGGACUCGCGGCUUAUCAGCUUGUUGGUGGGGUAGUGGCUUACCAAGGCUUUGACGGGUAGCCGGCCUGAGAGGGUGACCGGCCACAUUGGGACUGAGAUACGGCCCAGACUCCUACGGGAGGCAGCAGUGGGGAAUAUUGCACAAUGGGCGGAAGCCUGAUGCAGCAACGCCGCGUGCGGGAUGACGGCCUUCGGGUUGUAAACCGCUUUCGCCUGUGACGAAGCGUGAGUGACGGUAAUGGGUAAAGAAGCACCGGCUAACUACGUG
rnacentral:rRNA from 1 species